rnacentral:ncRNA from 1 species
CUUGUAGAGGCGCGAGAUUUAUUAGUAGCGGAAGCACGUUGCAAGGACGCCGUAAAAGGAAAUUUCGCCGAAGCGUAUAUUCUCUUGCAAGGGUAUAUUGCUGGGCAUAAGGUUAAGAGCCUUAUGACUGUCAUCGCAUAGAUGGAGCACUA